UAACAAGGUUUCCGUAGGUGAACCUGCGGAAGGAUCAUUAAAAAAUUGGACUCCAUUGGUGAGUUCAUUAAUAAUCCCUACCCUUUGUGAAUUUGUUUGUUUGAAUAAUUUUUUUUCCAAAAAAAAUUAUUGAAUGUCUUUCCUUGUUUUGGUGGAGCUUGUAAAGUGAAACCAGGCAGGGGAAUGGCAAACAAUAAUUAUUUUUGAAAAAGACCUUUUUUUAAAAUUAAACUUUUUGUAUUCAUUUGUCUAAAAUUAUUUUUAUAAUAUAAAAACAACUUUUGACAUGGAUCUCUUGGUUCUCGCAACGAUGAAGAACGCAGCAAAAUGCGAUAAGUAGUGUGAAUUGCAGAAUACGUGAAUCAUCGAAUCUUCGAACGCAUAUUGCACUUUUUUAGUUUACUAAAAAAGUAUGUCUGUUUGAGUAUCAGUAAAAUAUUCUCAUAAAAACAUUUUGUUUUUAUGGUUAUGAGUGUUUUACAACGAUACAAGUUGUUUCACUUUAAAUUCUUUGUUAUCAAAAUCAUUAAAGCUAAUUUUAAAGAUUAAAAUUGGAUAAAAUUUUCCCGUAAAAAAGGAAUAACCUAAACAAUUUUAAAUUAUUUGAUUAGAUUCUUUCAAUAUAAAGGAAAAUUAAACGAAAUAACUUGAUCUCAAAUCAGAUAAGAGUACCCGCUGAACUUAAGCAUAUCAAUAAGCGGAGGAAAAGAAACUAACAGGAUUCCCUUAGUAACGGCGAGUGAAGCGGGAAGAGCUCAAAUUUGAAAUCUUCAUGGUUUUACCUUGACGAAUUGUAGUUUAAAGAAGUGUUUUCUGUUGAAGUUUUGGUAAAAGUUCUUUGGAAUAGGACAUCAUAGAGGGUGAGAAUCCCGUAUUUGACCAUUAUCUCCAGCUGUGUGAUACACUUUCAAAGAGUCGGAUUGUUUGGGAAUGCAGUCCAAAAUGGGUGGUAAAUUUCAUCUAAAGCUAAAUAUUGGCGAGAGACCGAUAGCGAACAAGUACCGUGAGGGAAAGAUGAAAAGAACUUUGAAAAGAGAGUUAAACAGUACGUGAAAUUGUCAAAAGGGAAGCGUUUGACACCAGUGUUGUUUUCUCGAAAAUCAAUUAAAAAAAGUUGGAUUUUGUGUUGUAUUGACCUUAACAGCUUGCUUCACUCUUUUCUUGCUUUUUUUAAUGCACUUUUCGUUUAACAAGUCAACAUCAGUUUCUUUUGUUGUAAAAGGGUCAUUGGAAGGUGGCUUUCUCUCCGGAGAAAGUGUUUAUAGCCUUUGAUCUCUGCAAUCGGAGAGACUGAGGUCUGCAGCGUAGAUCCUUCGGGGUUAGAUACAUUUGUGCUAAGCUACAGCUUUUCAUAGACAACU
rnacentral:misc_RNA from 1 species